AUCAUUGAAGAUGGAUGAAGUGCAACAGAGGAACAUCCAGACUGUAUCCAACCAUAAGGAUAUAAUUAAGCAUUUAUGAAUAGUGUCAACAUUGGGUCCCAGCUGGUUUCCAAUACUACACCCAUUUGCAGGGACCCAGAGUAUAUCAAACAAGAAGCCAUUCAUCAAACAUCAAAGCCAUUGAUAAAGUUCACAACGUUCACCAGGGCCAAAAUGGUGACAGAUAGUCUCCUUGUUGAAAUCUUGCUCUCCUCAGCCCGAACUCUGACGGAUAGCACUGUUGGUGGCCUAUCAUCACAAUGAAGUCAUGACACAUGGAUGGAAUCACUUGCACUCUCUUCAUACUGGGCCUGAGACCAGAAUUCAUCCUCUGUGAGUCAACUCCUACCCCCAUCCUCAGGACAGAAAGCAGAGAGCAUAGCAGCCCAGCCAAAGGUGUAUACAAACACAAU